CCUACGGGUGGCAGCAGUGGGGAAUUUUCCGCAAUGGGCGAAAGCCUGACGGAGCAAUACCGCGUGAGGGAAGACUGCCUAUGGGUUGUAAACCUCUUUUUUCAGGGAGGAACAAAAUGACGUGUACCUGAAGAAUAAGCAUCGGCUAACUCCGUGCCAGCAGCCGCGGUAAGACGGAGGAUGCAAGUGUUAUCCGGAAUCACUGGGCGUAAAGCGUCUGUAGGUGGUUUAAUAAGUCAACUGUUAAAUCUUGAGGCUUAACUUCAAAACCGCAGUCGAAACUAUUAGACUAGAGUAUAGUAGAGGUAAAGGGAAUUUCCAGUGGAGCGGUGAAAUGCGUAGAUAUUGGAAAGAACACCGAUGGCGAAAGCACUUUACUGGGCUAUUACUAACACUCAGAGACGAAAGCUAGGGUAGCAAAUGGGAUUA
rnacentral:rRNA from 1 species